GACGAACCGUGCGAACGUUAUUCGGAAUCACUGGGCUUAAAGGGCGCGUAGACGGGCGACCGCGUCGAUGGCUGAAAGCCCCCGGCUCAACCGGGGAACGGGCCUCGAUACGGGUCGCCUCGAGUGGAGGAGGGGGACCUGGAACUGCCGGUGGAGCGGUGAAAUGCGUUGAGAUCGGCAGGAACGCCUGUGGCGAAAGCGGGGUCCUGGACUCUUACUGACGUUGAGGCGCGAAAGCCAGGGGAGCGAACGGG
rnacentral:rRNA from 1 species